rnacentral:misc_RNA from 1 species
UCAAACUUGGUCAUUUAGAGGAAGUAAAAGUCGUAACAAGGUUUCCGUAGGUGAACCUGCGGAAGGAUCAUUAUCGAGUAUCGGGGUUCUUCUGAGCCCCUACUCCCACACCAUGUGUAACUUACCUCUCGUUGCUUUGGCGGGCCGCUCCUCCUGGAGCGCCGGCUUCACAGCCGGACAGCGCCCGCCAGAGGACCAACUUAAACUCUUGUUAAUAGCAGAAGUCUGAGUAAACAUUUAAUUGAAUCAAAACUUUCAACAACGGAUCUCUUGGUUCUGGCAUCGAUGAAGAACGCAGC